GACUCCGGAGACAUCUGAACUCCUGGAUAGCCUUCAAUGAAACUACAGUGUCCCCAACAGUGAAUGUAACCUGUGAUGAAGUCUUGGAAGACACCAUCUUCGUGACCUGUUGGGCUUGGGGCUUCUAUCCCAAGAAUAUCUCUCUGACCUGGCUUCAGGAUGGGGAACCCCUGAGCCAGGACACACAGAAGUCUGGGAGUAUCCUGUCCUAUGGGAAUGGAACCUACCAGACCUGCGUGUCCACCAGGAUUCCCCAAGGACAGGAGCAGAGGUUCAGCUGUCACGUGGGACACAAUGGGAAUCACAUUACUGGCACUGUGUCUUGUGGUGAGCCUGGGAGUCCCAGAAGAGGCACUGCACUGCUGCUUCGGAGCCGAUGGCCCACCAUUGUGGCUGCUGUUGUUAGUGCUGCCUUCUACUUUUGGCUCCUUUGGUGCAAGAAGAGGAGAACAACAUCAGCUACAGAGGGUCCAGGCCGAGAGUCUGCACAUUCCUGGAUCAGCAGCAGAGGGCACCAACUGACCACAGUGGACCAGGCGCAGGCCUAUAAUCCCAGAGACUGGGCAGACUGAGGCAGGAGGAUUGCAAUUUAGUGAAGUCCUAAGCAACUUGGUGAGACUACAUCUCAAAACAAAAAUUAAAGGACUGGGCAUGUAGCUCAGUAGUAAAGUGCUCUUGGUUCACACCCUAAUUAAAAAAAAAGAAGUUACCACACUGGAACCUUGAAGCUGGGAUUUCUGCUUCUGCUGUCAGUUCCUGGCUCUCCUGAUGCAUCAGGGAGCUUAGACUCUGGUGCCCCUGGCUAGGCCUGGACUCAGCUUCCUACCCUCCUCUGACUAGCACUUUCUCCCUUGGAGCCUUAGGUUCCUCUUCUCUACCAUUUGGAAGGACAUAUUCAUCAACUGUUGGGGUUGAAGGAUUUAAUACAGGUGAGCUGCUUGCAGCUCUGCCAUACUACAUAUUGUACAUAUAAAUUAUUGUGAAUGAAUUUUAUUUGUAAGUGUCCUUGUUUGCCUCCUCCCAAGAAGACUAAAAUACUGGCUUUCCUUGACUGUAUAGGACCCCUCAAUCCCCAUCUGACUAUGCAUUACUUCAUGUCUUUAUAAUUUUAUACCAUAAAAUUUUAUAUAUAUA